AAUUUAUUUUUCCUCGCGCAGGUUGUAGAUUCAAAGAGCAGUAGAUCAAGAUCUGCAUCAACCCAGCCAGAGUUACAUCAUCAUCUAUAUUGGGGUGAAAUUAAGUCCAUAUUUUAGGGGAAACUCUGCCGGAUUUUCAGGAAAAAAAAAAAAAAGUCAUGAUGUUCAUGAUACAAAGUAAAGGAAAGCUAGGAGAAUUGUUACAAAUGUAAUGUCUCCGACUCGAUUAAUUAAAUAAUCGGGUAGGGGGUGUUACAG